rnacentral:rRNA from 1 species
UACAGAGGGUGCAAGCGUUAUUCGGAUUUACUGGGCGUAAAGGGCGCGUAGGUGGUUUAGUUAGUCUGUUGUGAAAUCCCUGGGCUUAAUCCAGGAAGUGCAGCGGAUACUGCUAAACUCGAGUACAGGAGAGGAGGACGGAAUUCCCGGUGUAGAGGUGAAAUUCGUAGAUAUCGGGAGGAACAACAGUAGCGAAGGCGGUUCUCUGGACUGUAACUGACACUGAGGCGCGAAAGCGUGGGGAGCAAACAGG